GCGGGGUGGAGCAGCUUGGUAGCUCGUCGGGCUCAUAACCCGAAGGUCGUCGGUUCAAAUCCGGCCCCCCGCA
rnacentral:tRNA from 2 species